CAACUACUCCCUUUGUCCCAAAUUUCUUGUCUUAGAUUUGUCUAGAUACGGAUGUAUCUAAUACUAAAAUGUGACUUGAUACAUUUGUAUCUAGACAAAUCUAAGACAAGAAUUUUGAGACGGAGGGAGUACUCU
rnacentral:pre_miRNA from 1 species